rnacentral:rRNA from 1 species
CCACGCGUACCCAUACCGAACACGAACGUUAAGCCUUCCAGCGUCGAUGGUACUUGGACCGAAGGGUCCUGGGAGAGUAGAACGUCGCCAAGC